rnacentral:rRNA from 1 species
UACGUAGGGUGCAAGCGUUAAUCGGAAUUACUGGGCGUAAAGCGUGCGCAGGCGGUUAUGUAAGACAGAUGUGAAAUGCCCGGGCUUAACCUGGGAACUGCAUUUGUGACUGCACGGCUAGAGUUUGGCAGAGGGGGGUAGAAUUCCACGUGUAGCAGUGAAAUGCGUAGAUAUGUGGAGGAACACCGAUAGCGAAGGCAGCCCCCUGGGUCAAGACUGACGCUCAUGCACGAAAGCGUGGGGAGCAAACAGG